rnacentral:misc_RNA from 1 species
GAUGAAGAACGUAGCGAAAUGCGAUAAGUAAUGUGAAUUGCAGAAUUCAGUGAAUCAUCGAAUCUUUGAACGCAUCUUGCGCUCCUUGGUAUUCCGAGGAGCAUGCCUGUUUGAGUGUCAUUUUAACUUCUCAACCAUAUCGAAUUGUUUUUCGAGGUGGCUUGGACAUGGGGGUUUUUGCAGGCUUUAAUAAUGAAGUCGGCUCCUCUGAAAUGCAUUAGUGGUAUCGGAAGCAGAACUGCUACUAUUAGGUGUGAUAAUUAUCUAUGCCUCUUGGUAUACUGCAUGAACAGAUUGCGCUGCUUCCAACUUGUACACCCUUUGGUGUUUGACAAAUUUGACCUCAAAUCAGGUAGGACUACCCGCUGAACUUAAGCAUAUCAAUAAGCGGAGGA